UGAGGAAUAUUGGUCAAUGGACGGAAGUCUGAGCCAGCCAAGUAGCGUGCAGGAUGACGGCCCUAUGGGUUGUAAACUGCUUUUGUAUGGGGAUAAAGUUAGGGACGUGUCCCUAUUUGCAGGUACCAUAUGAAUAAGGACCGGCUAAUUCCGUGCCAGCAGCCGCGGUAAUACGGAAGGUUCAGGCGUUAUCCGGAUUUAUUGGGUUUAAAGGGAGCGUAGGCUGGAGAUUAAGUGUGUUGUGAAAUGUAGACGCUCAACGUCUGACUUGCAGCGCAUACUGGUUUCCUUGAGUACGCACAACGUUGGCGGAAUUCGUCGUGUAGCGGUGAAAUGCUUAGAUAUGACGAAGAACUCCGAUUGCGAAGGCAGCUUGCGGGAGCACAACUGACGCUGAAGCUCGAAGGUGCGGGUAUCAAACAGGAUUAGAUACCCUGGUAGUCCGCACAGUAAACGAUGGAUGCCCGUUGUUAGUUCACUUAGGAAUUAGCGACCAAGCGAAAGCAUUAAGCAUCCCACCUGGGGAGUACGCCGGCAACGGUG
rnacentral:rRNA from 1 species